rnacentral:rRNA from 1 species
AUGCAAGUCGAACGCGUUGGCCCAAUUGAUUGAUGGUGCUUGCACCUGAUUGAUUUUGGUCGCCAACGAGUGGCGGACGGGUGAGUAACACGUAGGUAACCUGCCCAGAAGCGGGGGACAACAUUUGGAAACAGAUGCUAAUACCGCAUAACAACGUUGUUCGCAUGAACAACGCUUAAAAGAUGGCUUCUCGCUAUCACUUCUGGAUGGA